ACAUGCUUACAACAUAGCAUCAAUGCAUCGGAUUCCAUUAGAACUUUGCAAUUAAGUGUGCUUAGGCUAGAGUAGUACUGGGAUGGGUGACCACCCGGGAAGUCCUAGUGUUUUACAUGUC
rfam:Picea glauca, whole genome shotgun sequence.